CCUACGGGAGGCAGCAGUGGGGAAUAUUGGACAAUGGGGGCAACCCUGAUCCAGCCAUGCCGCGUGUGUGAAGAAGGCCCUCGGGUUUUAAAGCACUUUCAGUGAGGAAGAACGCCUGGUGGUUAAUACCCAUCAGGAAAGACAUCACUCACAGAAGAAGCACCGGCUAACUCCGUGCCAGCAGCCGCGGUAAUACGGAGGGUGCGAGCGUUAAUCGGAAUUACUGGGCGUAAAGCGCGCGUAGGUGGCUUGAUAAGCCGGUUGUGAAAGCCCCGGGCUCAACCUGGGAACGGCCUCCGGAACUGUCAAGCUAGAGUGCAGGAGAGGAAGGUAGAAUUCCCGGUGUAGCGGUGAAAUGCGUAGAGAUCGGGAGGAAUACCAGUGGCGAAGGCGGCCUUCUGGACUGAAACUGACACUGAGGUGCGAAAGCGUGGGUAGCAAACAGGAUUAGAUACCCGAGUAGUC
rnacentral:rRNA from 1 species